UAGGGAAUCUUCGGCAAUGGACGAAAGUCUGACCGAGCAACGCCGCGUGAGUGAAGAAGGUUUUCGGAUCGUAAAACUCUGUUGUUAGAGAAGAACAAGGACGUUAGUAACUGAACGUCCCCUGACGGUAUCUAACCAGAAAGCCACGGCUAACUACGUGCCAGCAGCCGCGGUAAUACGUAGGUGGCAAGCGUUGUCCGGAUUUAUUGGGCGUAAAGCGAGCGCAGGCGGUUUCUUAAGUCUGAUGUGAAAGCCCCCGGCUCAACCGGGGAGGGUCAUUGGAAACUGGGGGACUGGAGUGCAGAAGAGGAGAGUGGAAUUCCAUGUGUAGCGGUGAAAUGCGUAGAUAUAUGGAGGAACACCAGUGGCGAAGGCGGCUCUCUGGUCUGUAACUGACGCUGAGGCUCGAAAGCGUGGGGAGCAAACAGG
rnacentral:rRNA from 1 species